UAGUGAUUGAUGGGUUCUUUAUUUUGACAGUGUCUGUGAAGUUGGAGAAUUGUUUUUCAUCAGAAGGUGAUAAAGAAAGCUCAUAGGAAGUUGAGUUGACAUCAGCAAAACCACACAUAAGGUGAGUGAAAAGAGCAGAAUUUACAUCUGAAACGGGGAACCCAUCGUCUGAAUCCCAGUAACCAGCUCUGAUUAAAGUUUGUGCCCUUGCAGGAAGCGAUUCUGAAAAUAUAAAAAUGUAGAGGACAAGAAUGAUAAUUUUGGAUGCCAUUGUGGGAACCUUGAUGCUUUGAGGCAAACCUAGUAUGUGAUUACAUAUAUAUGUACAGACACAAAAUGUAAUGGAGAAAAUAUCCGACACCGAUUGAGAUUUGUUAUUGGACUAUAAUACAAACUUGAGGCAACUUUCAACUCAUGAGCUUAGCUCAUAAGUCUUUAUACGAUAUCAAAGUCAAGUUUCGAAAGAGUGACUCUAUACUACCUUUCAAUUUAACAAAGAGAAAGAAAAGAGAUCAACCUACACGUGGUAGGAAGAUAGAAAAAGUAUAUCACAUUGGCUAAGAUUAAUUACUAGGUUGAUAAUAUAAGCUCAAAACAACACUCAGGUCCAUAACAAGCUGUAAUUUAAUAAAGUUAGGUCAACUCGAUAUUUUAUAUAGUACGUCAUGAGUGAGGAGGAGUUUAAGCUGCAAAUCGCAGUCAUGAGUGAGAACAAAUUUGAUUUUCUCAAGAUUUUGCGUUUUGUACACGUUGAUCAUGGACUGAAUCAAGUUAGAAAAUAUUUUCACAAGAUUUUCCCUUCAAAUUGCAUGGAUGGAACCAUAGAGGAAUACAUCGAAAAGUUUGUCUUCUUGUCAUGAUGUUAAGUGAUAAGAUUGAAGCUCUUAAAUUAAGCUAUGACGUUUUACCUCCACUUAGCUUGACUUCUGAAGCUGAAGACUCAUGCUUUUGCAUUGACUUUGUUGGUAUUUAAAUGACCUCGGAGUCUUGGACGUGUUUCUGAAGCAAUGCCAUGGUCUAUGAGUACAUUUUUUUUUUUGGGUAAAAAAGGGAAAGUCUGUCGUUAGGAAAACAUCCUGACAACGGGAUGGUGAGGGGGGAAAAAAACAAAUUAUACACUUAAUUAUUUCCUCAUGAUAAGAUUCAGUAGUAUUGUAAUUUUAAUAAAAAAUUAAGACCCUUUUGCCCUUUUUCUUGUGUAAUUUAAUUUUCAAACAAGACCACCCUCCAAUUUUAGUAUAAAAGCCUAUACGAAUGUCCGUUCACUUUGACUCAAUGUUUACAUAAAAACAAAUGGCGCGCAGACGAUUUGUCGAUCUAGUACCACUCUCGUAUACUUGGUGAGAUUCAGCUUCACCAAAUUUGUAGCCUAUAUUUUACUUUAAUGAGAAAAUCAAAUAUUGUUUGAACAAAUAAUUUUCUUUUUUCUAUAUACUUUCUUAAAAUGUAUGGAGUGGGUAAAGUACAAAUUGAAUUUUUAGCCCUUUGACUCCUCCAAAAUUCGAACUCAAUUUAAUGUCAAUUAAAAUAAUGCUACUUGAAAAUCAUUCAACCAAAUAUCGUAAAAACUAUAAUUUUACGAAGUGAAAGUUUCACUGAUUAUUGAAUUAUAGAACGUGCUAUCAUUUCCUAGUUAGAAUUUGUUUAAUUCUAUUAAUUUACAAUCAUUCUUUAUUUUAUUUAAUUAAUUAAAGUGAAUUUGUUUUGUAUAAGUUCUAUAUAUGUAAAAUUUUAAAAUUCAGUGUUGAACUUAAUUGUACUAAACCUUUUAUAAUUUUUUAUCACACCUGCAUGUUUAACAGUCUAGUAUUAAUAUUGAUAGCACAUAAUAUAUAGGAUUAAGAGACAUUGAUUUCGGGUGCUACAAGAUUUUUAGGAUUGCAUGCACAAGGGCUUAAAAACAAAGUGAGGAUUUAAUUACACCAAACGAGGGUGCGUUUUUAUGAUAAAAUAUAAACUACGUGCAGGGUUGUAAAAGUGGCUCCAUAAUCAGUGUACAUUGACAUUCAUCUAGCUACCACCUCCGAAAAUGAUACAUCAUUAGCCGAGCAUUUUUCCAAUUGUGUUGUAGAUAAUAGUUCAAUCCCAAUUUCAUCAACUGGUUUUGAGAAAGCAGGCUUCUUGGGAGUAUUUGUAUUUGUGGUUUCAUUCUUGAGCAUUGAGGAAACUUGUAACAUUGAAGGUCUAUCGUUUGGAUUCUCCUGGACACACAACAAAGCUAUUUCCAGACAUCUCAUUAAUUUAUAAGGAGAAUUUGUAUCAUCUAGUGAUGAAUCGACAAACUCCACGCCUUUGCCACCUUUCCACAACUCAUAAUCCUGAAAUUAUCAAGUACCAUUUUGUUACAUAAUUUAUACUUCUUAAUUAAGUGCGCAUAUGUGUACUCAGGGUUACUAUAGCCAAAGAAACUUACGUGCUCUAGAAUGCUUAAAUUUUCAUUGAUGCCACAUAACAUUGAAAGCCUCUUUCCACUUAUGAUUUGUAGAAGUAAGACUCCGAAACUUAAAACGUCUGAUUUGGUAGAGUAUACACCUUUACUGGCGUAUUCAGGAGGAAUAUAGCCUCUGCAUUCAAAAUAACCAAAAAUAAGUACGUAUAUAUAAGUAAGGGAUUUUGCAAUUUAAUAAAUUUGUAAUUACAUUGUGAUAAAAGUCUAUCCUGAAUUUUAUUAAAGAGCUGGAUUCCUUAUUCGAAACUCACUAUAUAUAUAUAUAUGUGUGUGUGUGUGUGUAUGCAUGCAUGUAUGUAUGUAUGUAUGUAUGUAUGUAUGAAUGAUAUGUAUACGCGCACACAUGUAUGUACACAUAAGUACAUCGAGUAAACACAUCAUAUAUAUAUAUUAAAAUUCUGUAUUAGCUUGGUCCUCAUAUACAUACAAACAUAUAACAAUCAGAAGCUUGAGUAAAGGAUAUCAUUUAGAUGUAAUAUACUUACAUUGUUCCCACAACUUGUUCUGUAUUCGCUUCGAGACUCUCUUUUGCAAAAAUCCUAACCAUACCAAAAUCUGAAAUUUUAGGUUUCAUAUCUUCACCUAACAAAACAUUACUGGCUUUCAAGUCUCGAUGAAUAAAAGUUAGUCUUGAGUAUUCUUAGAGGUAUAGAAGCCCUUGAGUUAUCUCUUCAAUGAUACGAACACGUUUUUUCCAAUCCAAAAUAAGUCUUUUGAUGGGAUCUACAACAAAUAUAUAGUUUUGGACAAUAAGUGAUAUGCAAAUGAAUUACAUACACGAUUAAUAUUAACUUGAUUCCAGAACAAACCAAAAAGGUAGCAAUCCAAGCUUUUGUUUGCAUGUACUCGUAGACCAGCAUCCGUUCCUCACUGUCAAUGCAAAAACUAAAACUCUAAUAAGAUUUAAAUGUUAUUCAAUUGAUUAGAACACCGAUUGAAAAGAAGUUCCUUCUAAUCAAUUGAAAACCUAAAUUCUAAUAAGAACUGAUAAAAAAAUCAAUUCGAUGUUAUUCUUUGUGGCUCUGCUUAGAAUACUGAAAAAUCAAGUCGACUUACUUAUUUUUAUAUUGAUCGUUACAAGUCUCUUGAAUUUUUUACCUACUUCAUUAACUUGUUAUUUUGAGUUGUAUCUAACAUGGCUUCACUCUUUUUUUUCUUUACUUUGGCUUGGUUUUCUUUACAACUUGAAAGGAAUUUAGAUCUAUUACAAAUAGAUGUAGGCAAUUAAAAACAAAAAAUUAAUUACUUAAUUAAUUUUCCGGAAGUACUCUUCACUGUUACUGUUCACUAAAAAAUAUUAAUUUUCCAAAAACACAAUAAAAUGCAGAAAAUUAAUGACACAAAAUUUUUUACAUGGUUUGGAUUAAUGAAUCCUACAUCCACGAGGCCACGCCCAGAUGAAAAAAAAAUUCACUAAGUUGAGAUGUUACAACCUAUGGAUUUACCAAACUUAAGACACUCACUUACAGUUUAUCACCAUACAGUUUACUCAACCUUAGACUGAAUUUGCUUCUCUUGAAUAAUCGCUACCCCUCUUGAUUCACGAUCCUCAAGGUACUUCGCAAAGUGAUCAAUAGCAAUUCUUCAAUGUCUAGUGAUCCAAGAUCCACAUAAACUCUCCACAGAGAUGAAAAGAAAAUAAGAAAACAAAUCAACACAACAUGAUGCGCCAAAUCGGGAUUCUCUAGGGAGAAGGCCGAAUUUUGCUUCUCUGCUUUAUGCUCUGUGUUGUGCGAUCAAACUUCAAUUGUGAAAUACAUCUCUUUAUAUAGGCACUAAAAUUUCACCAAAAUAGUAAGUCUUAAAAGACUUGGAUUCUUUUCAAAUAAGAGUUUAUUUCCUCUUAUAAUUCCCAUGAUUCUGAAUAGCAUUAAAUCUGAUUUUUUUGCCUUACUUGUCUCCUAAGAAAUUUUUAGAGCAUUUAAUGACUUCCUGUUUGAACCAACUUCUUGCUCUAAAUAGAUCUCAUGCGCCAAUUAUAGAAUCCCACCAUUAAUUGACUUGCUAAAAUAGACAUCUAAUAAAAUUAGGAGCCAAAAAUUCUUAAUAAAUUGCAAUCUCACUAAAUUAGGGAAUUAAUAAAUUAAUCCCUAUUACAAGAUAUGCAAUAAAUAAACUUCCAAUUUAACUAGACUUGGCAUAAAAUGCCAACUCUAUAAAUAAUGGACUUAACACAACUCAUAAAAAAUUUCUUGUUAAGACUGUAUGAACCAAUUGAACUUCAGAUUCAUACUAGAACUACGAUGAUUCAAUAAGACCUUCAAAUUAAAUCCACAGAUUCCAUGAGUGAGAACCCUUGGAUUACAUUUGUUCAAGUUUAUGCUUUGAGUAAAAUAAAAGUAGAAAUAGGAAUUUGAAAGAAGAAAUUUAGUUAUAAAAAAUUGUCAAAUAAUUAAUUGUUUGGCAUUUAUUUUAUUGGUCCCAACCCAUGUGAUCCACCAAAUGAGACGUUUUAUGUGAUUGUUUGUGCCAUGGUGCACUAGCCUCAUAUAUGUUUGUUUUUUCUUAUGGAUAUAACUGUAUAUGAGUAGCGUUAUGUAGUGCCCCAUAGGGGCUCUUUAAAAUUAUUUUAUGUGCAUUUUAAACAUUCCCUCGUUGUUGAUUUGAAACACCAAAAAUAUCUCUCUUAAAUUUUAAAAAUAUAUAAAAAAAUUAUGAGUUAAAAGAAUGUUGUAUAUCUCUAACCUAACAUAUAGCACACGUAUUGUACACUUUUGCUUUUUUCUUCUCUAAACUUUCACUCCUCUUUUCUUUGAUUCUUCACACUUCACUGAUAUCUCUGAAAAAAUUAAACUGUCUCUAGAAGCUUAUUACUAAUUUUCUCAUCUAAUUAUUUAUAUAAGUACUCUUGAUUGAUUAUCACUUCUUUAUUUUUAUUUUUUUGGGGGGAUUUCUCUUAGAUGAAAGAAUUAAGGUUAUGUUCUAAGAAAUUUUUAACUCCCAUGUUAUAGUUUUGAUAAUGAGAUUAUCCUUGAAUUUUCAACAUAUAAAAGUACUUCGAAACAACUAUUAAUUCGUUGAAUGAAAUAUCCUAAUGAAUUUAAAUUUUGGUACUUAUUUUUUAUUGAACUUUUUCUUUUAAAUUACAUUACUAUUUGAACUUUGUCCUUGUGACAUUAAAUUCUUGAUAGCGCCACUAAAUGUAAGUUUUAAACUCAUGUUUUAAAUUACGUAUCCAAGCUUUCAAUGUGAUCUAAAGAUCUCAUAGCUUCAUUCGAAAUUAAUAAAUGAUCUCUAAGUGUUACGAAAAUGAUAUCAAUGAAAUUACAAACUCUUAAGAGUUUAUAGAACAUUAAUUGAUCCAAGUCCAAUACAAACUGCUUACUAGUACAGCCUCAAGAUCUCCAUUUAUUUUUCAGUAGGCAAAUUAAGCAACUGCAGCAGUCACUAGCAGCUUGCCAAGAGCUAGCAUAGAUCAAUUGUUCAUCUACCAACCAGUUGUGAAAUUUUUGCAUCAUUACUUGAACAUAUUUCUAAUCCAAUCGUGGCUUUAUUUUGUUCAUCUUCAUGAGCUUUCUUCGAGAAAGUUUCAAGCUUCUUUGGAGUCAUUAUCUCGGCUGUGUUCUCGUUUUCGAGCAUCGAAUAAACUUCCAGCAUAGAAGGUCUAUCGUUUGGGUUCUCCUGAACACAUAACAAAGCUAUUUGCAGACACGUCAAUAAUUUCCAUGAGGAAUGCGUAAUCAUCUAGUGAUGGAUCCAUUAACUUCAUGCCUUUCUCAUCCUUCCACAACUUGUAGGACUGAAAACAUGAAAUAUGUUUUUGAGUUACAUUCAAUUAAAUAGCACUAUAAAGUUUUGAUCAAUUGUGCAUUUUAAAGGGGGUUAUGCAGAAACUUACAUAGUGUACAAGGUCUAAAUUUUCAUUAUGACCAUAUUAAAUAAAAAAUCUCCUUCCAUUUAUAAUUUGCAAAAGUAAAAUCUCAAAACUGUAGACAUCAGAUUUAGUAGAGUAGAUGCCUCUUCUACAUACCCAGGAGGGAUGUAGCCGUUGUGGUACUGAGUAAUUACAAACAUCACCGAAAUUGUUUGACCUAAAAGAUUAAGUUGAUUGGUAAAGGUUUAACAAUAAUAUUAAAGACAAGUCGAAGAAAAUAGACAUAUAUAUACUUACUGUGUUUCAACAAUUCGAUUUGUAUUUGCUUCAAGAUCAUCUUUCACAAAAAUUCUAGCCAAGCCAAUAGAUGAUAUUUUAGGUUUCAAAUCUUCAUCCAACAAAAUGUUACUAGCUUUCAAGUCUUGAUGAAUAACUAUUCAUCUAGAAUAUUCUUGAAGAUAGAGAAGCCCUUGAGUAAUUCCUUGAAUGAUAUGAAUGCGUUUUUUCCAAUCCAAAAUAAACCUUCGGAUGGGAUCUACAUAAAAUAUAAGUAUAGUUGGACGGUCUGUAGCAUUAGCAUUUGGAGAUGAGAAAUGCAAAUAAAGGAUUUCGUAGAUGAAGAAUUUCUCGCUGGAAGAAUAAGUUGAAUAAUCUGCAUUUCCUCCACCGAUGGAAAGAAGGGUAGUGAUUGUUGGGUUUUUUGUUUUCACAGUGUGGUUAGAGAAUUGUUCUUUCAUCAUAAGGUGACAAAGAAAGCUUGUAGGACAUUGGAUCGACAUAAGCAAAACCACAAAUGAGGUGAGUGAAGAGAGCACAUAAUUUAUAUCUAAAAUGGGGAAGCCAGGCCUGGUUCCCAAUAACUAGCUCUGAUUAAAGUUUGUGCUUUUGCAGGAAGCGAUUAUGAAAAUAUAAAAAUCUGGAGGACAAGAAUGACAAAUUUGGAUGCCAUUUUGGAAAGCCAGCUGCUUGAAACAUGCCUAGUCUGUAUGUGUUUUUAUACACACACAUAAUGUAGCAGAGAAAUUAUCCUACAUUAACCGAGAUUAGUUAUGGGUCUAAAUAAUAUAUGUUUUAAGCAACCCUCAACCCAUGAGUUAAGUUCGGAAGUUUAUAAACAGUAUUAGAGUCAGAGUUAGGUUAUAUAUGGACAAAUGCGCUUAUAUUACCAAACUAAAAGAUCAGCGUGCAUUUGAUGGAAUGAUAGGAAAAAUAUCCCACCUUAGUAGUUAAGAUUAGUUACUAAGUUAACAAUAUAAGAUUAAAGCAAUCUUCAACUCAUAUAACGCAAGAGUAUGAAUCAAAAUUUAAUAAAACUUGGUCAAUUCGAUAUUUUAUAAAGAUAUACGAGCUACAACUCGAGGUCGCUCAUGAGUGGGGACGAGUUAGAUUAAGGCAAUCUUCAACUCAUAUAACGUUGAUCAUGGACCGAAUCAACAUAGGAAACAAAAGUCGAGGAAGUUGAAUCUUCUGGCCUUCAACAUUGAAAAGGUUGUCUUCAUUCAAUGACGAUCGUCUUGAAGUUCUUAAAUUAAGCUACGACGUUUGCCUCCACUUAGCUUGACUUCUGAAGCUGGAGACUCUUCCUUUUGUAUUGGCUUCGUUUGUACUUAAAUUACCUCGGAGUCUUGGAUGUGUUUCUGAAGCCAUGUCAUUGUCUACGAGUAGAAAUUUUUUUUUUUUUUUUGGGGGAAGAAAGAGGAAGUCUGUCGUUACUUGUUAGGAAAACAUCAUGACAAGAGAAUAGUGAAGAAAAAAAGAGAAGAAAAGAAUAGGAAAAACCAAACUGACAAACACUUAGUUAUCGACCCCUAUGCCACUGGCCUGUAGAACACACUCCCUCAGAAGUGAUUUUAAGUUCUUGUAAUUUUCUGUAUAAUAUGAGAGCAUUUUCCUGUUUAAAGCAGGGGCAGUAACAGUGUCACAAUAGAAAGCCUCCUGAUGGUAAGAUUAACUAGUAUUGUGAUUUUAAUUGGGGGUAAAAAAGUCCCAUACGCUUAUUUCCUUAUAUGAUUUAGUUUCAAGUCAAGACGACCCUCUUCAUUUUAGUAUAAAAGUCUAUACAAAUGUACUUUUUACUCAAUGUUUACGUAGAAACCGUUGGUGGUUCAAUUGUGGGGAAUGGCAAAUGUAAAGAAAUACAACAAUAAUGAUGGAACUUUAUUACAUAAAGUAAUGUGUUUACAACUAACUCUAUAUGUAGAAGAAAAAUAAUAGUAAUAAGUAAACUGCAGAAAAUUUGUGUGCUUCAAGGCACGUUACAAAUGUCGCUUUUCUUAGGACGUUAUUUGCCCCACCAAUUAAGUGAUGCACAUGGGUUAAGCAAAUACGCCUCCAGGAUACAAUAAAGCACUUGUUUGUUUGCUUGCGUUGUGCAUAGACGAAAGCAAACCAGAAUACUCUUGAAUGUUGCAAGUCUGCCAAGAAACAAUAUAUUGUUCCUGCAGAAAACAAUAUAUUAGAUUUUUAAUGCACAAAAGAAAUUGGUAUUUUGUGUUGAAAUUCGUACUAGAAAGGAAUGAUAAGAAAAGAGUGGUGUAUGAUCAUUAAUUUCAUGUCUAAAUGGCUUAAACAUGACCCCUAUUUAUAGAUAUACUUGUGCCCCCUCAUUUGGGUUGUCAUCUUUCAUGAUACCCCUUCAUUCAUGGCCAUUGGAUCUAGAUUUGAUUUUAAUCAAUCGUCCAAAUUGAACCAUCACCAUUUCAAAUGAAAUGUCACUAUGAAAUGAUGCAUCUCUAAGUGAAAUGUUGCCAUGAAAAGUUAUAUCAUUUAGUAAAAAGAUACAUUUUCUAUAAGACACAAUUAAAUGGACAUGUCCUUACAACAAGACAUCAUUUAAUUACACGUCUUUAGUGAAAUGUACAUUUUCUAUAAGGCACAAUUAAUAGGACAUAUCUUUACCAUAAGACACCAUUUAUUUCAUUUAUUGUUAAAAAUUUUCCAACAAUCCCCCACCAUUUUCAAAAUAAAUGAAUUUUGAAAAAUUAUCUUGCGCAGGCUUGGAAAACUUAUGCAUAGAUGAAUGUGUCUUUUGGACUUGAACCUUCACUUAGUGACAAUACAUCAAAGUUAAUCAAGGUGGCAUGGUAGGCAAGCUUUGAACCAACGACCUUAAUUGACUAACCGGAUAUAUCUCACACAUAAGUUUUCAAAUUCUCAAGUAUUCCUUAGCCGACACGUGGAUUGACCCUGUGUCUAUAUCCUGUUUUCAUGAGCGCUUUAGUAACCAACCAAGUUACAUAGGAAGCGGCACCAACUCCUACACUCACAUAGGUAGACUUAUCUGGAAUGUCCCUGUAACUAAAACAUUUAUAAGUCUAUUAAAAGCUAAGCACCUUAACCUUUCCCAUAUGUUACAGGUAUCAAGCACUAACCUUUGGGACGCAUCUAAAAAUAUUAUAGUGCUUGUUAUUACAACAUAUGAUGUACUUUUGCUCAUUGAACCCAAGAUCUUGAUAUUUCAAGUGUUAGGUUGAGUUUCCAUCAUUGGUGAUAAGAUGAUGCUGGUUUCAGUCCCAUCCCCUUAGAAGUUUUUAAUACAAUAUCCAUUGCAAGGCCUUUAGUUAAGGGGUCCGCCAAAUUUUGGCAUGAUUUUACAAAGUCAAUUGUGAUUACUCUAUCUGUAAGUAAUUGUCUUACAUAACUAUGUCUUAGACCAAUGUGCCUAGACUUUCCAUUAUAAAUUUGACUAUAUGCUCUUGAUAAAGUUGCCUCACUAUCAUAGUGAAUAGAUAUAGGAGGCAUUGGUUUAGGCCAGAUAGGAAUUUCUAUAAGGAAAUUCCUUAACCAUUCAGCUUCCUUGCAACAUAAAGCCAAAGCUAUAAAUUUUGCAGCCAUGGUGGAGUCUGCUAUACAAGUUUGCUUCUUUGAGCCCCAUGAAAUAGCUCCUCCACCAAGAUUAAAAAUCCAACCACUUGUGGAUGUAUGAUCAUCUCGAUCAGUAAUCCAACUAGCAUCCGAAAAUCCUUCUAAAACUGAAGGAUAUCUAGUGUAGUAUAUACCAUAAUCCAUUGUAUGUUUUAAAUAUUUUAGAAUUCUGUACACUGCUUGCCAGUGUGCUUGGCUUGGAUUACUAGUAAAUCUACUCAGCUUUCCAACAGCGAAAGCAAUAUCAGGCCUAGUACAAGUCAUCGCAUACAUAAGACACCCAAUAACACGUGCAUAUUCUAAUUGGGAUACUGAUCUGCCAGUGUUAGGAUACAGUCUUAUGUUUGAAUCAAAAGGUGUUGACACAAGCUUACAAUCAUAAUAAUUAAAUUUCUUUAAAAUUUUCUCAAUAUAAUGUGAUUGGGUCAAUAAUAGGCCAUUCUUAUUUUUUAUAAUUUUAAUCCCCAAAAUCACAUCAGCAAGUCUCAUGUCUUUCAUAUCAAAAUUAGAUGACAAUAAUGAUUUAGUGAGUUCAAUGUUCUCACUAUCAGUACAAAAAAUUAACAUGUCAUCUACAUAUAAACAAAUAAUCACACCUUUAUUUCCAUUGAAUCUGCUAUAGACACAUUUAUCAGAUUCAUGAAUAAUAAAUCCAUUUGAGACAAUCACUUUGUCAAAUUUUUCAUGCCACUACUUUGGAGCUUGUUUAAGACCAUAUAAAGACUUGACUAGUUUACAAACUUUAUGUUCUUGUACUGGCAUAACAAACCCUUCUGGUUGUUUCAUGUAAAUUUCCUCAUUUAAUUCUCCAUUUAAGAAAGCCGUUUUUACAUCCAUUUGAUGGAUUUCAAAAUGAUAAAUUGAAGUCAAAGCAAUCAAGACUCUAAUAGUAGCAAUUCUUGCAACAUGUGCAUAAGUAUCGAAAUAAUCAAGGCCUUCUUUUUGUGUAAAGCCUUUUGCUACUAGUCUUGUUUUAAAUCUUUCAAUUGUUCCAUCAACUUUCUUUUUCUUUUUGAAAAUCCAUUUACAACUUAUAGGAUUAUAGUCAGGUGGUAAAUCAACUAAUUUCCAAGUCUGAUUACCCAUAAUAGAGUCAAUUUCAUCAUUAAUGGCCUUUUUUCCAAAAAGCAGCAUCUUGAGACUUUAUUGUCUCUUCAUUUGUGAGGGGAUCAGACUCUAUAGUAGGUGUGAUCAUGGUCUGUUUUGAUUGUGAGUCUCUUGUCCCUUCAACAAAAUGGACUAUAAAAUCUGGUCCAAAGGAUUUUAUAGUCCUUAUUCUUUUACUUGUUCUCAAAUGAUUUUGCUCAUUAUUGGCAUCACGCUUUUGACCAAUUUCUAUUUGUUUAUCAUUCUCUUGAGAAUCAAUACUUUUUGGUAUAGUGAAAAAUCUAUUUUCAUAGAAUAUUGCAUCUCUAGAUUCCACUAUAGUAUUGAUCUCAACAAAGCUAUUAGGUUCUGUUACAAGAAACCUAUAAGCUUUACUAUGCUCAGCAUAUCCUAAGAAUAUGCAUCCAAUGCCCCUUUCUCCUAAUUUCUUUAUCUUAGGUUAUGAUAGCCUUAUAAUGGCUCGACAACCCCAAACUCUUAGAUAAGAAAGAUUAGGCUUUCUCUUUUUCCAUAAUUCAUAUGGGGUCACCUUUGUUUUCUUAUUAGGCACUCUAUUUAAGAUAUAACAUGCAAUUAAAAUAGCUUCACCCCAAAAACAUUUACCAAGCCCAGCAUUAAAAAGCAUAGCAUUAACCAUUUCUAUUAACCAUUUCAUGUACAAUGCCAACAAAUUCACAAAAUUCAGAAAAAGCAUAUUCACCUCCUUUAUCACUUCUAAGGCAUUUAAUUUUAGUGUCACAAAAAUUCUCAACUUUAUUUUUAUAAGUUUUAAAUUUUUCUAACACUUGAUCUUUAGAAUAUAAUAAAUACACAUAGCAAUAUUUUGAAAAAUCAUCAAUAAAUGUUACAAAAUAUUUUUUACCACCUUUAGAAGGAUUACUAUGCAUAUCACACACAUCGCUAUGAAUUAAAUGCAAUAAAGAAGAUGUUUUUUCAAUUUUUAGAAAAUGAGGUCUUGUGAUUUUAGUCUGUACACAUACUUUACAUUUUCCAUGCAUAUCAUUUUCAUCCUUAGGAAUUAACUCUAAAUUAGCCAUAUCAUGCAAUCUUCUAAUAUUCACAUGUCAUAAACGAUUAUGCCACAAAGAUAAUGAAUCAACCAUAUAAACAGAAGAAACAUUCAUAUUAUUGAUAUUGAGUUUAAACAUUCCUUCAUACAUGUAUCAUUUCCCAACAAAGGUACCACUCUUAGAUAAUAUAAAUUUGUUUGACUCAAAAACAAGUUUAAAGCCAAACUUAUUGAGAAGGUUACCAGAUACAAGGUUUUUCCUAACUUCAGGAACAUGAUAAACAUCAGUAAGAGUUAAAGUUUUUCCAGAAGUAAACUCUAGUUGCACAUUGUCUUUUCCUUUAACUAUUGUAGUGGAGGAAUUUCCCAUGUAAAGAACAUUUCCAUCAUCCAUUGCUUUAUAAGAUUUGAAAAGGCUACGAUCUUAGCAUACAUGCUUGGUUGCACCAGAAUCUAUCUACCAUGCAUUAUCAUCUUCAAGAACAUUAAUAUCAGAUAUCAUAGCCAUAAAAUUUGUGUUCGAAACUUCCUUUUGUUUCUUCAAAAGUCGACAAUCUCUUUUGAAGUGGCCAGGUUUUCCGCAAUGGUGGCAUGUACCCUUCUUUUUCUUUUUAUUGUUUUGAUUAUCUUUGGAAUCAAACUUUCUCUUUUGGUUAUUCUUAGGGUGAUUAGAAUGCUUAAACUCCUUCCCUUCCUCUACGACAUUAAUUUUUAAAGGAUGUAGUAGUCUGAUCCUCAAGACUAUUAAGCUUGAGUUCCUCUUCAAUACGAAGACUUGGGCCUAAGCCAUCCAGACUAAUUUCCUCUUUGUUAUGUUUAAGACUUUUCUUAUAGUCUUUCCGAGAGGGAGGAAGUUUAUCAAUAAUUGAAGAGACAAUAAUAGACUCAUCCACUUUCAUGUUAUGUUAGUUGAAUUGAUCAAGAAUAUGCAAAAUCUCAUUAUAUUGUUCAACCACAAGUCUAUUAUCAACCAUUCUAUAAUUAAAAAAUUUAGAAGCCAAUAAUUUCUUACUUGUGGCAUCUUCCAUCAUGUACUUAGCCUCUAAUGAGUCUCAUAUUUCUUUUGCUGUAGGUUUGUUGUGAUAUUGAUCAAACAAAGUAUCAGACAUGGCAUUGCAAAUGUGUCCUUUGCACACGUAGUCAUCUUGCUCCCACUUCUGCCGCACUCUGGUGUCCGCUAAUAUCUCAUCCUCACGUUCUUGAGGCUUUGGUGUUGUGAGAACAUAGACCACAUUGAGACUUGUCAACAAGAAAUGCAAAUUUUUCUGCCAAUGAAUAAAGUUGCCACCAUCGAACCGCUCUAAUUUGACAAAAUCUAUUGCGAAUUGUCGAAGAGAUGAACUUGGUGCCAUUGUUGCUGAAAUAACGUCUUAAGAUUGUUGGUGGUUCAAUUGUGGGGAAUGGCAAAUGUAGAGAAAUACAACAAUAAUGAUGGAACUUUAUUGCGUAAAGUAAUGUGUUUACAACUAACUCUGUAUGUAGAAGAAAAAUAAUAGUAAUAAGUAAACUGCAGAAAAUUUGUGUGCUUCAAGGCACGUUACAAAUGUCGCCUUCCUUAAGACGUUAUUUGCCCCCACCAAUUGAGUGAUGCACAUGGGUUAAGCAAAUACGCCUCCAGGAUACAAUAAAGCACUUGUUUGUUUGCUUGCGUUGUGCAUAGACGAAAGCAAACCAGAAUACUCUUGAAUGUUGCAAGUCUGCCAAGAAACAAUAUAUUGUUUCUGCAUAAAACAAUAUAUUAGAUUUUUAAUGCACAAAAGAAAUUGGUAUUUUGUGUUGAAAUUCGUACUAGAAAGGAAUGAUAAGAAAAGAGUGGUGUAGGAUCAUUAAUUUCAUGUCUAAAUGGCUUAAACAUGACCCCUAUUUAUAGAUAUACUUGUGCCCCCUCAUUUGGGUUGUCAUCUUUCAUGAUACCCCUUCAUUCAUGGCCAUUGGAUCUAGAUUUGAUUUUAAUCAAUCGUCCAAAUUGAACCAUCACCAUUUCAAAUGAAAUGUCACCAUGAAAUGAUGCAUUUCUAAGUGAAAUAUUGCCAUGAAAAGUUAUAUCAUUUAGUAAAAAUAUUCAUUUUCUAUAAGACACAAUUAAAUGGACAUGUCCUUACAACAAGACAUCAUUUAAUUACAUAUGUCUUUAGUGAAAUGUACCUUUUCUAUAAGGCACAAUUAAUAGGACAUAUCUUUACCAUAAGACACCAUUUAUUUCAUUUAUUGUUGAAAAUUUUCCAACAGAAACAAAUGAUUUGCUGAUUUAGUACCACUUUUGUAUACUGGGUGGGAUUUGGCUCCUCCAAAUUUGUAGCCAAUAUUUUACUUUGAUGAGAAAAUCAAAUAAUGUUUGAACAAAUACUUUUUUUUCUAUGUACUUUCUUAAAACGUAUGGAGUGAGUAAAGUACAAAUUGAUUUUUUAGCCCUUUGACUCUUCCAUAUUCAAACUCAAAUUAAUGGUCUGUUAAAUAUUGCCACUUAAAAUCAUUCAGCCAAAUAUUGUAAAAACUAUAAUUUCACAAAGUCAAAGUUUCACUUAUUAUUGAAUUGUAGAGUGUGCUAUCAUUUCCUAGCUAAAAGUUUGUUUAGUUCCAUUGAGUUACAAUCAUUAUUUUAUUUUAUUUAAUUAAUUAAAGUGAAUUUAUUAUGUAUAUAUUCUAUUUAUGUAAAAUUUUAAAAUUCAAGCUGAAUUGAAUUGUACUAAAUUUUUUAUAAUUUUUUGUCACACCUGCAUUUCUAACAGUUUAGUAUACAUAUUGAUAGCACAUAGUAUAUAGGAAAGAGAGAUUGAUUUCGAGUGCUACAAGAUUUUUAGGAUUGCAUGCGCAAGGGUUUAAAAACAAAGUGAGCAUUUGAUUACACUAAGCGAAGGUGCAUUUUUAUGAUGAAAUAAAAACUGGUUGUAUAAAUGGCUCCAUAAUUAGUGUACUUAACAUUCAUCUAGCUAUCACUUCCGAAAAUUAUAUCAGAAGCCGAACACAUUUCCAACUGUAUUUUAGAUAAUAGUUCAAUCCCAAUUUCGUCAACUUGUUUUAGAAAGCAGGCUUCUUGGGAGAAUUUAUAUUUGUGGUUUCAUUCUUGAGCAUUGACGAAACUUCCAACCUUGAAGGUCUAUCAUUUGGAUUCUCCUGGACACACAACAAAGCUAUAUCCAGACGUCUCAUUAAUUUACAAGUGAAAUUUGUAUCAUCUCGUGAUGAAUCCACAAACUCCAUGCCCUUGCCACAUUUCCACAACUCAUAUGCCUGAAAUUAUCAAGUAUUAUCUUGCUACAUAUUUUAUAGUACUUAGUUAGGUGCAUAUAUAUAUAUAUAUAUAUAUAGACACACACACACACACACACACAGAGGGUUACUAUAGCCAAAGAAACUUACAUGCUCUAGAAAACUUAAAUUUUCAUUGAUGCCACAUAACAUCAAAAGACUUUUCCCAGUUAUCAUUCGUAAAAGUAAGACUUCAAAGCUAAAAAUGUCUGAUUCGGUAGAGUAAACACCUCUAUGAGUGUAUUUAGGAGGAAUAUAACCUCUACAUUUGAAAAUAACCAACACUCUUUCAGUAUGUCUAUAUAUAUAUAUAAUCAGCUUCAGGUCUGGAAUUUAAAUUUGAAAAGAGUCUACAAUGUUGUAAAUUGCAUUUAUCACUGUUUUACAAUGGUAUAAAUUUAAUUAUAAAUGACUGUCAAAAAAUUAAUAGAUGGUUAUUAUUUAUGAUUAUAAUUAGAACAUUAAAAUUCAAGUCGACUCAUUUAUCUUUACAUUGAUUUUAUUCUUUGUGGUUAUACUUAGAAUAUUAAAUAAUUAAGUCGACUGGUUUAUCUUUAUGUUGAUCAUUACAAGCCUCUUGAAUCUUUUAUUUACCUAUAUUUUCUUUGAUCUGUUAUUUUGAGUUGUAUGAAAUGUAGCUUUACUCCUGUUUUCUUUACUUUACUUUGGUUUUCUUUAUUGUUGAUAGGAAUUUUCUUGUUAAAACUAUAUGAAUAAUUGAAAUUUUAAAUUCAUACUACAACCAUGAUGAUUUAAUAAAACCUUCAAACUAAAUCCACAUAUUCCAUGAGUAAGAACCCUAAGAUCACAUUUGUUCAAGUUUAUGCUUUAAGUAAAAUAAAAGUAGAAAUGAGAAUUUUAAAGAAGAAAUUCAGUUAUAAAUAAUUGUCAAAUAAUUAAGGGAAAAUGACAAACACACCCCCAACGUUUAGGCAAAGGAACAAAAACCCCUAAUGUUUUAAAAAAAACAUUUACACCCCAAUUUAUUAUAAUUUUACCAUUAUACCCUUCUAGCAUAUAAAAAAAAAUAGAUUAUCCAAUUUGUCUAUAUAUUGUUAAUAAAAUUAUAAAUAGACAAAUUGGAUAUUAUAAAAAAAAUUAUAAAUAUACCCUCAUUGUCCAAUUCCUCUAUUUAAAUUUGUAUCAAUAACCAAUUUUCAAAAAAGACAUUUAUAGACCUAAAAAAAUUGUAAAUAAAUUAUAAUUUUAAAAAUAAAAUUAAUUAUUAAUAACUAAUUUUAUUUAAACUUUAAACUUGUAUAUUUAACAAUUCUCCACAUGUCAAUCAUUUAAACUUGUACAUUUAUAACCAAUUUUCUAUGUUAUUUAUUAUGGUAUUAAUAACCAAUUUUAUUACCAACAAAGUGUUGGCUCCACUGGCAAUGGAGUCCCCUUAAGUGGCUUGACUGGGUUUGCUCCCCAGUUCAAGUCGCAGGGAAAUCCCCUUUGUUGGGAGAACCUGUGCCUUUCGGUUCGAGCGGGGAUUUCUAGUCUGGGUUGUGGUACGGGUUUAAAGGUGCCUCCCACAGUUGGGGCCCUCCCCAAGAUACCUCGUGGUCAAAACCAAAAAAAAAAAAAAACCAAUUUUAUUUUAAAAAUUAUAAUUUUUUUAUAAUUUUUUUUUAAGUGUGUAGAUGUCUUUUUUGAAAAUUGGUUAUUAAUAAAAAUUUAAAUAAAGGAAUGAGGUAAUGAAGAUAUAUUUAUAAUUUUAUUAAUAAUAUAUAGACAAAUUAGAUAAUCUAAUAAUUUUUUUUAUAUGCUAGAAGGGUAUAAUGAUAAAAUUAUAAUAAAUUGGAGGUGUAAAUGUCUUUUUUGAAAUAUUAGGAAAAUUUUUGUCCCUUUACUUAAACGUUAGAGGUGUGUUUGUCAUUUUCCCAAUAAUUAAUUGUUCAACAUUUAUUUUAUAGAUUCCACUGUUGGGACUCCAUGUGAUCUGCCAACUGGCAGGCCUUAUGUGGUUAGGUGAACCACGGUGUGCCUGCCCCAUAUAAGUUCCUCUCUUCUCAUAGAUAUAACUAUCAACGGCGCUAUGUCAUGUCCAACAAGGGCUCUUCGAAACUUUUUAUGUGAAUUUUAAACAUUACCCCAUUACGCUUUUGAAACACCAAAACUACCUCUCUUAAUUUUUUUUUUUAAAAAAUACAUAUUAAAAGAAUGUUUUAUGUCUUUAGCUUAACAGUUAGCACACGUAUUGUACUCUUGACAUUUUUCUUCUGUAAAUCUUCACUUCUUUUUUCUUUGAUUCUUCACACUUCACUGCUCUUUUAUCUCUAAAAUAUUAAAUUGUCCGUCAAAGCUUACUAUUUAAUUUACUGAUCUAAUUAUUUAGCUCUAAAUAUUUAGAUACGUUUUCUUAAUUAACUAUCACUUCUUUAAUUUUUUUGGUGAUUUCUCUUAGAUGAAAGAAUUAAGGUUAUGUCCUAGGAAAAUAUUAACUCUCAUAUUAUAGUGUUGAUAAUGAGGUUAUCCUUGAAUUUUUAACACAUGAAAACACAUUGAGGUAACUAUAAAUUCAUUGAAGGAAAUAUUUUAAUAAAUUUAGAUUUUGGUACAUAUUAUUUGUUGAAUUUUUUUUCUUUCCAAAUUGAACGCAGCCCUUAUGACAUUCAAUUCGUGAUAGUGCCACUAAAUCUAAAGUGUCGAACUAGAUCAUAUUUCUCCCUUAUGCAAACUCCAUCGUUUAUUUAAAUUUCAAUUUUGUGGCCUAUUUUCGAGUUUUCUAGUUUCACAGAGGGCAUCUUGGAUUUCUCUACGCGGUCUAUAGUCUCUAGUCCAAAUGAAGAAAUCGAAUUCACCAUGUACAUUAGUGUUUUUUUUUUUUGGGGGGGGGGGGGGGGGUUGGAAUUUUUUUAUUGGCACGGGAAGAAAGCUCUUCGGCACUACUCGGAAGAAGAAUAUGAGCAACACAUGGUCCAAUUCGCAUUGUAUGGAAGUAAAACCGAAGCAUUAGACCAAAAGCAAACCUUAUUCAUAUUUUUAGUUACUGAUAACAAUUUUUUUCCCCUCUUAUUAUCAUCUUAAUUAAGAAAUAUAGUAAUUCGUUAACUUUUUGGGAAAUUAAAAAGGAUGGCAAUAUACAAUAUUCUUGUGUUGAUGACCUUAAAAGCUAAUUCCCUUGAAACAGGAAAACUGGUAUCGUUUUUCAAAGCACAUAAAUGAUAUAUCCCAUUGAUCGAAAGAUUUCAUAGCCACACUCAAAAUUAAUAAAUGAUCCCUAAGAAUUACGAAAAUGAUAUAUGUCAUGACCCAACUUAGACCUGGCAAGAUAUUGUCCGUUUUGGGCCUUAACAAGGCCCGCACGGAUUUGUUCUUGGGGCGCCCAUACACCCCAAAACGCGUCUUGCCAAUUAAGGUGUGGAUCACCCUUUAUAAACCCAACAUCUCUCCCGUGCUUUGCCGAUGUGGGAUUCGCCUAGGGUGUUACAUACACCCCCCUUAGGGACUCAGCGUCCUCGCUGAGGUUUGCCCCACCAUCGCUCAAGAGGACACGCGGAGCCGCUCUGAUACCAUAAUGUCAUGACCCAACCCAGACCUGGCAAGAUAUUGUCCGCUUUGGGCCUUAACAAGGCCCGCAUGGAUUUGUUCUUGGGGCGUCCAUACACCCCAAAACGCGUCUUGCCAAUUAAGGUGUGGAUCACCCCUUAUAAACUCAACAUCUCUCCCGUGCUUUGCCGAUGUGGGAUUCGCCUAGGGUGUUACAUACACCCCCCCCUUAGGGACUCAGCGUCCUCGCUGAGGUUUGCCCCACCAUCGCUCAAGAGGACAUGCAGAGCCGCUCUGAUACCAUAAUGUCAUGACCCAACCCAGACCUGACAAGAUAUUGUCCGCUUUGGACCUUAACAAGGCCCGCACGGAUUUGUUCUUGGGGCGCCCAUACACCCCAAAACGCGUCUUGCCAAUUAAGGUGUGGAUCACCCCUUAUAAACCCAACAUCUCUCCCGUGCUUUGCCGAUGUGGGAUUCGCCUAGGGUGUUACAAUAUCAAUGAAAUUACAAACUCUUCAAGAGUUUAUAGAACAUUAAUUGAUCCAAAGCCAAUACAAACUGCUUACUAGUACAACAUCAAGAGAGCCAUUUAUUUUUUCAGUAGGCAAAUUAAACAACUGCAGCAGUCACUAGAGAGCUAGUAUAGACCAAUUGUUCAUCUACCAACCAAUUGUGAAAUUGUUACAUCAUUACUUGAACAUAUUUCCGAUCCAAUCGUGGCUUUAUUUUGUUCGUCUUCAUAAGCUUUGUUUGAGAAAUCGGAGUCCAUUCGAUGAGUCUAUCAGCAUUCUUUAACUAAUUAUUAGAUUAAAUGUAUAAAUUUAAAACUAGUAAAAGUUUAGAAUAUGAAAGAACCUUGAUUCAUUCAAGAAAUAAUUAAAAUUUUAAUCCUUUUCAAACUGGUUAAUAUUAACCUUAUCAUUAUAAGAAAACACAAUUUAAAAGAAAAAAAAAAUCUCACAAAGUUGGUGUGUGGAAUAGUCAAUACGUUGUGUCCUUGAUUUUUUACAAACUCUUAAGAGUCUAUAGAUGUAGUUAGUGAUAUUACAUUACAUUAAUUGAUCCAAAUCCAAUACAAACUGCUUACCAGUACAGCCUCAAGAGAGUAAUUUAUUAUUCAAUUGGCAAAUUAAACAACUGUAGUAGUCACUAGCAGCUUGCCAAGAGCUAGCGUAGAUCAAUUGUUCAUCUACCAACCAAUUGUGAAAUUGUUACAUCAUUACUUGAACAAAUUUCCAAUCCAAUCGUGGCUUUCCUUUGUUCAUCUUCGUAAGCUUGCUUUGAGAAAGUUGCAGGCUUCUUUGGAGUCAUUAUAUCAGCCGUGCUCUCAUUUUCGAGCAUCGAAGAAACUUCCAGCAUAGAAGGUCUAUCGUCUGGGUUCUCCUGAACACACAACAGAGCUAUUUGCAGACAUGUUAGCAAUUUCCACGAGGAAUGCGUAUCAUCUAGUGAUGUAUCCAUUAACCCCAUGCCUUUCCCAUCUUUCCACAGCUCAUAAGCCUGUAAAUAUCGAAUAUUUUAUUGAGUUACAUUCAAUUAAUUAGCACUAUAAAGUUUUGAUCCAGUGUGCAUUAUAAAGGGGGUUAUGAAGAUGUUGGGGAAAAAUCAGGUUUUUAAAUUUAUAUAAAACCUUUUGAAGAUCGCUCUCAUAUAAUAUAUAAGAAUUCGUAUUCUAGAAAUCGUACCUUGUAAAUCUGAGUUUGCUUUUUCCGCUGAAGUGAUUUAGGCUCCUAGAUCACGAUCCGCCACCACCACUCCUGUUAGAUCACGAUCCGUCACCACCACGCUUGUUAGAUCACGAACUGUCUCCAAUGAUCUUCCAGGUUAUGACUCAGGUUCGAUCUGCACUUGACGUGUGGGCGCCUUUAUCACUACCAAAGCAACUAGCACGAGAAAAUUUUUCUCUCAACAAUGGAGAGAAAAAUCUUAUUCUCUGAUUUGUAUAAAGUGGCUUCCCCUCUUCCUUUUUGGGAAAAUAAGCCUUAUAUAUCUCCCUUUAGUGAAAACCCUAGGCUCCAAGGAUUCCCCCAAAAUAAAACUCACGUUACUUUUCAUUUAAUAGGGGACCCACCAUGUAAAAUAACAUAAGGCCCCUUACACAUAAGCUUAUUAAAUGGAGCCUCCCACUAAAUGAUAUAUUUAGGCUUUUGACCCAAAUAGCUAGUUAUCUUGCUUAUUAGUCCAGCAGUGGUGCAAUCAAUUAAAUGAGCUAACCCGGGGAUCAUUUGGGAACAUACAAUAGUGGCUACAAUAAUUAGGCAUGUAAUUAAACUAGCCCAAUUAUUUAAUUCCAAAUCUACUCCACUAAAAGAUUGGAACUGACUUCCAUAAUUGUAUGCUCGAAUAAUAAUUCGUCCCAAGCCACAUUGAUUUCUUUACUGCACAAUCCUUUGUACCACAUCGUUAAUUAAAUUGAUAUCUCAACUGUCCAAUCAAUUUAAUAACAUCUUAUUCCUUGAUCCUUACUGGUUUUCUCUAAUGAUCAUUUUCAACAUACUAAAUAUGUUGACACACUCUGGCCAGAGAAUUCUAUGAUCAAGUACCGAAAACCUAUCAAGAGAUGUGUUGUACAAAUUCUAUAUUGUUAAUCCAUAACUCCAAUACUCAUAAUUGCUCCCACCAAGAUACCGGGUAAUCUUGACCACAAGGAUGUGUCGUGCCCAUUGGUAACUCAAAUGAAAUAACAAUCACAAUCAUGAAAUCAUAAUUAACUCAAGAUUAAGAUUACAGUAAAAUCAACGCCUAUGAGAUUUAAUAAGUCUGACAGUUAUUACAAAGUUAAUUAAAUCUCAUAUGUGAUCCUGUUCAAUGUAGUCGUACUACAUCAAUAAAUUCAUACAUGAUUAAGACAAAUCAUUCAAUGAAUUUAUUACAGUCUAUACCUAAAUAAAGUGCCCAACUUUAUUUAUCAACUGCGAACUAAAUUUAUUUAAUCAUAAGAUAACUUGUAUUUAUGUCUUCUGUGAAUCCACAUGGUGAUCACAUAAAUACAUAUAAUAUGAUUAAAUGGACUUUAAUACAAAUAUUAAUGCAAUUAAGAUAUUUGAAUAAAAUACCUCAUUUAUUUUAUUAAUCAGAAAAAUUGUUUAUUACAAUUAAAUAAACACAUAUGCUUUUAAAGAGCAUAUUUUCCCAACAAUCUCCCACUAGCUCUCAAAGCAUAUCUGGCAUAUUGCACAUGCUCUAGGGCUCUAAGUGCAGGUUAUAAAGGUUUCCCACUAAUGGCCAUUGUAAUAAGAUCUGCCAUUUAGCAUCUAAUGCCAUUUGGGGUACUGUCAUAUAACCUUUCUACACUAUUCCCUUAUAAGAUGAUACUUCCUUUCAAUAUGUUUUGUUUCUUGUGGUUCCUUGGUUCCUUAGAUUGAGCUACCGCACCACCAUUAUCACAAAAUAGUUUAAGGGGUGCAGUUACAACAGGUACCACCUCAAGAUUUCGUAGGAACUUGCAGAGCCAUAUAGCUUCUUUUGCAGCUUCAGAUGUAGCCACAUAUUCAGCUUUAGUUGUUGAGUCUGUGAUACAAGAUUGUUUCACUCUCAUCCAACUAGUAGCUCCACUUCCCAAUGUAAACACAUAGCCGGAAGUUGAUUUUCUAAAAUCCUUAUCUGACAAAAAAUCAGAAUUAUUAUAACCCACUAGAAUAAGUUCAUCACCAGAAUACACAAGCAUAUAAUUUUAAGUUCUUUUCAGAUACUUCAUUAUAUGCUUGACCGCAGUCCAGUGUUCAGGUCCAGGAUUAGAUUGAUAUCUACUAACCAUCCCUCCCGCAAAACAGAUGUCUGGCCUAGUGCAAAGCAUGGCAUUCAUGAGACUUCCCACAGCUUCUGCAUAGGGAACUCGUCUCAUUCUCUCUAUCUCUUCAGAUGUUUUAGGUGAUUGAUCCUUAGAGAAUGUAAUUCCAUGUCUGAAUGGUAAUAAACCAGUCUUGGAAUUUUCCAUACUAAAUCUAGCCAAUAUCUUAUCGAUAUAGACCGCUUGAGACAAGGCUAAAGUUUUAUUCUUCCGGUCUCAUAGUAACUUGAUACCAAGAAUAUAACUUGUCUCUCCCAGGUCUUUCAUAUCAAAUUGUUUUGCUAACCAAAUCUUUAUUGUAGUCAAUACUCCUAUAUCGUUUCCAAUCAGGAGAAUAUUGUCUACACAAAGAACUAGGAAGGCUACAAAUUUUCCCUGAAUUUUCUUGUACACACAUGGUUCAUCAAUGUUCUGAAUGAAUCCAAGUGAUUUAAUCGCUUGAUCAAAUCUGAUGUUCCAUGACUGGGAUGCUUGCUUCAAUCCAUAAAUAGAUCUCUGCAACUUACAUACCAUGUGUUCUUGGCCUUUUUUGUAUAAAUCCAUCUGGUUGCUGUAUGUAGAUGUUUUCUUCAAGAUGCCUGUUAAGAAAGGCAGUCUUGACAUCCAUUUGCCAAAUUUCAUAAUCUAGCACUGCAGCAAUGGAGAGCAGAAUCCUGAUGGAUUUAAGCAUAGCAACCGGAGAAAAGGUUUCCUCAUAAUUGAUUCCUUCUUUCUGAGUAAACCCUUCGGCUACUAAUCUUGCUUUAAAUGUUUCCACCCUUCCGUCUACUCCUCUUUUUCUCUUGUAGAUCCACUUGCACCCUAUAGGUUUUACCCCAUUUGGUGCCUCUACAAGUUCCCAGACUUUAUUGGAAUACAUAGAUUCCAUUUCUUGAUUCAUGGCCUUUUUCAAAAUUCAUCAUCUCUAUCUAUUAGAGCUUCGUUGUAACUAGUGGGAUCUUGUACAUGUUCAUCUGAGAUAGCCUUAUAGGUUUCUCCCAAAAACAUGUAUCUUGCAGGUAACCUAGUUACCCUCCCACUACGACGAGGUUCUAAAAGUGAUGAUUGUUCAAGGAUAAUCCUGUGCUGAUCAGCUGGUUGUUGCUGUUCUUCCUGUUCUAUAACAGGUGUUGAAAGCUGAGCAUCAACCUGAUCUCUUUUAUUUCUCUAGUUUUACCUUACUCUUAGGUUAUAAGUCAUUAUAUAGUCUUCCUCAAAGAAAGUAAAAAAUAUUUCUAUAAAUACAUUCCUAUCUUGAGGACUAUAAUUCAGACUUUCCCUUAUUCCUUUAAGAUACCUAAAACAUGCAAGCUUCUGAACACGAAUCCAUCUUCUCUAUCUCUGAUUCUAGUAGAAAUACUAGUAAACUCCAAAUACGAAUGUGUCUCAAACCAUGUUUGUGACUUUUUCAUAAUUUCUUGGAGUAGUGGACACCGAGAUAGAUGAAACUAAGUUCAAUAAACUUUGUAGUUUCAAAUACUAGUAUCUGGAAUCAAAAAGGUAAAUGAUAAACCACUUAGUAUAUAUCUUGUCUUAUCCAAAAGAAUCUUGUUUCUCCAUUUAAUUACACUAUUGUAUCAUAGUGUUCAUUGACAACCAAAUAGUGCUUGAAUUCUCCAUAGAGAUAUUCUUUGUUUCGAUCAUAUCGAAAUUCUUUUAUGUUCCUGUCUAAUUGCUUCUGUCUUAUUCACGUACUCUUUUGAAUUUCAAAAGCAAUGGAAUCAUGACUCAUUUAGACAAACAUAAAAUGAAUAUUCAUCAACUAGAUUGAUAGAAUACUCAUAACCUCUUAUAACAUGUAAACUGAUUAGUCCGUAUACAUUUGUAUGCGCUAAAUCAUCAAAUACAAUGUUAUGCUUUUAGCUCAUAAAGAGUAUCCUUGUCAUAUUACUUUUCUAAAUAAGAUUUAUAGAGUUACAAUGAUCAAUCUUAAUAGGCCAACAAGUCUAUCAUUAAUCAUUUUCUUAAAAUCUUAUUAUAGUUUAUAUGACUUAAGCAUAACUAUCAGAGGUGAUUUUUGGUUAGAAGAAACAUUUCUUUUCUUAGAUAAAUGCAUAUACUUUUAAUCAUUAUAUCUUACUUUGAAUAGAUCAAUGUACUUUUAUGAUAUAAAUUGUCUUUAUAAAUAACCAAAAUAAGUAAUAAACAGAGGAUCCAAAAAUAACAGUGUACUCCUGUUUAUUAAAACAAGCCACUGAAAUUAAAUUCCUCUAAUAUUUGGAAAAAUAAAGACAAAUAUCAAAACUAAAGUCUUGUAAAAUUGAUCUAGUCUUUCAAUUGAUAUAAACUAGCACAUCCUCAACUGCUAUUUGAAGCUUUCUUCACUUAAUCUCUUGGUUUCCUGAAAACCAAAUAAAUGAAUUACAAAUAAGAUUAGUUAUCUCAGAAUUCAUUAUUGUAUGAAUCAAUAGAAAUCUGAACUAAUUAGGAAGCUUAAAGAUUUCCUAUACCUGAUUUUAAUAAUCUUAGGACAAUCUUUCUUCCAGUGACCCUUCUGUCCACAUUUGUAACACUUGCCUUUUGGCUUGCCACUUCUUUUAAUGGACAGUUUGCCGAUCCCAACUCUUGCUUGCUCAUUCUUGUCUUUUGACUUAAGCCUUGAAGAGAAUCCUUUUUCAGGAAGUUUUCUGCUAUGAUAAAAUUCUUCUAUAGCAUUAAUUCAAUUAAGGUCAUAUCUUUAUUGUUUAAGAUAUAGCUGACCUUAAACUCUUUGAAUGUAUCAGGUAAAGAUUCAGUAAAGAUUCAAUCACCAUGUUAAUCUUUGAUUUAUCAUUGAUUUGAACACCAUGAAUCUCUACCUCAUUCAAAUAGUCCAUCAUUACGAACUUUUGUGCCCUCUUCCAUCUGAGUAUCCGUAAUACGUUUCAAUGCUGCUUCUCUGGCAAAAUGGGUAUUUUUUCCAAACAUCUGAUGAAGACUAGCCAUUAUUUCAGUAGCUGUUUCCAUGCUCCGAUGUUUCUUAUGCAGUUCCACAGAAAUCGAAGCCAAUAUAUAGCGCUUAGCCAUUUUGUUAGCUUCGCACCAUUUCUCAUAAGGCUCCCUCUGAUUUCUAUAAUCGUAUAACGAUGGUUCAGGAGGGCAAGGCUGGGUCAACACAUAUUUGCUUCCCUUAGCAGUGAGAAUAUUAAAUAGAUUGCGUUUCCAAUCUAAAUAAUUUUCGCCAGUGAGUUCAUUUUUAACAAGGAUAAAUAAUAAUGGGUUGAUGGAAGACAUUUUCUGAAAAAACAAAAUACACAUGCAUAAAUACUUUGAAACAAUAUUCACAAUAAAUGACAAAAAUGCAAAAAACCAUAAAUGCAUUUUAAUUUAUUGUAACGAUAAUCUAGUACCGCUUUGACAAGCUAUCCGUUGGGGAAGUCAUGUCUACACUUACUAGACCCAAUUAUCCAUUGGAUUAUUUACUUUCAUGUAGAGACAUGAUAAAUAAUUAUCGUUAUCCCUUUGGACCUAAAUUUGUUAACAGAGCUUCGUUGGGAAGGUUAAUAACAAACUUUAGUUGAGUGUAUAACCAUUGUUUCAAUCUACGUAUUUUUCAUAUCAAUAGUCACCGUUGGGGUGAACAAUCGAUUGAAAAAUAUUUCAAUUUUAUCUUUGAAGAAGUUCAUCAAAUAAAAUAUCUAAUAUAUAUACCCUCCGAAGGGAGCAUCACCGUAUCAUGAAGUCGAGGUAUAUAUAUAAUUUUAUUAUUGAACUAACAAUGGAGCCCGUGGGAAAAUUAUCUUGAAUUUUCCCUCUCCCACUCAAUAUUUUAAAAUUGGUUUUUCCUUUUUAAAACAUACAUAUUGUUAAUUGCAUGCUUCCUAUAAUAUCAUCUAGAUGAUAUCAAAUAUUAUUAAGCAUAUACAAAUUUCAAACAAUAUAAUGAAAUUCAUUAUUAAUGAAUGACAUGUAUCAUUAUGCAUAGAGUGGCACUACCUAUUCUAUAUGACAUGUUAUCAUGGCAUGUUAUCAUCCAAAACAUAACAUAUAGAAAAACUAUUAAAUAAUCUUAAUUCAUGGCUUUCCUAAUAAUGAAAAAUACAUUAACCCUAAGCCUAAUCUUCAUUGGGCUUCUUGUCAAUGUCCAUCUUCCAUAAGCUUGUUUUUGUUAAUGGACUAGGGGAAAUUGGGCUUUUAAAUUUAUAAUUGGUCCAAUUUUUAAUUUUAAAAAGAAAUAAAUAAAUAAAUAAAUAAUUUUAUUAAAAUAAAACUUUUGGACCAAAAAUAGAUUUAAUGUGUUCAAUUUUAUCUAUGCAUUAUAAUCCAUUAAACCCAAUUGAAAUUGGGCCUAAAGCUAGGAUUCACAAAGCCCAAAACUGUUUUUGGACUUAAAUGCAAAAAACUUAAACGUGUCUACCCAAAAGAAAAAAUUAUGGAGCCAUAGGGACCUCAAUGAUAAAAACCAUGAAACCCUAAAUCCAUAUUUUUCUUUCUCUCUUCCCCAGCCGCCAUCUCCAAAAACCUCCACCACUGUUCAGAUGCCAGCCGACCUCCGACGCAUCUCCGACAUCGAACCACCUGCCACCGCGUCGCCGGAAACGCAUCAAACUCGCGCGCGCUGCUGGCCACGCUGGCCCCGCGCGCUGUUUGCUGCGCGAGCAGCCUGUGCCAUCGCGUGCUGCGCGCACAAGCCACGCUUCCCGCGCGCGCUGGCUGCUGCGCGCUGCUGCUGCGUGCACGCUUGCGUUGCAGCGCGCGCUGCUGGCAGCAUGUGCUGCUGGCCGCGCGCUGCUCGCGCAGCAGCGUGUGCUGCUGGCCCCUCGUUGCUGAAAUUUCCGGCCUCGAUUGUUUGCGCUCGUUUUCCAGUGAUGAUGCUUCGGUGAUUUACAAAUUUUCAACGCAAAUUUUGGCUUACAAAAUUUCAAUUACAGUAAAAUAAAUCAAGAGGGAAUUAUGGUGAUAAAAAACCACCCCUCUUGUUACAGAUCCAAAGAAAAAAUACAUCGGAAAAUCUAACCAUGAAUUAAGACAAACCAUAACAUGCUUUAUUCAUAUAUUAAACAAAUAAUAUAUAUCUGAAUAAAUUGUGCCACUCUAAUACAUAAAUUUCAAGAAUGAUUUCAUACAAUAUUCUUAUAUAUUAAUAUGAGAUGGCUCUGAUACCAAUUGUUGGGGAAAAAUCAGGUUUUUAAAUUUAUAUAAAACCUUUUGAAGAUCGCUCUCAUAUAAUAUAUAAGAAUUCGUAUUCUAGAAAUCGUACCUUGUAAAUCUGAGUUUGCUUUUUCCGCUGAAGUGAUUUAGGCUCCUAGAUCACGAUCCGCCACCACCACUCCUGUUAGAUCACGAUCCGUCACCACCACGCUUGUUAGAUCACGAACUGUCUCCAAUGAUCUUCCAGGUUAUGACUCAGGUUCGAUCUGCACUUGACGUGUGGGCGCCUUUAUCACUACCAAAGCAACUAGCACGAGAAAAUUUUUCUCUCAACAAUGGAGAGAAAAAUCUUAUUCUCUGAUUUGUAUAAAGUGGCUUCCCCUCUUCCUUUUUGGGAAAAUAAGCCUUAUAUAUCUCCCUUUAGUGAAAACCCUAGGCUCCAAGGAUUCCCCCAAAAUAAAACUCACGUUACUUUUCAUUUAAUAGGGGACCCACCAUGUAAAAUAACAUAAGGCCCCUUACACAUAAGCUUAUUAAAUGGAGCCUCCCACUAAAUGAUAUAUUUAGGCUUUUGACCCAAAUAGCUAGUUAUCUUGCUUAUUAGUCCAGCAGUGGUGCAAUCAAUUAAAUGAGCUAACCCGGGGAUCAUUUGGGAACAUACAAUAGUGGCUACAAUAAUUAGGCAUGUAAUUAAACUAGCCCAAUUAUUUAAUUCCAAAUCUACUCCACUAAAAGAUUGGAACUGACUUCCAUAAUUGUAUGCUCGAAUAAUAAUUCGUCCCAAGCCACAUUGAUUUCUUUACUGCACAAUCCUUUGUACCACAUCGUUAAUUAAAUUGAUAUCUCAACUGUCCAAUCAAUUUAAUAACAUCUUAUUCCUUGAUCCUUACUGGUUUUCUCUAAUGAUCAUUUUCAACAUACUAAAUAUGUUGACACACUCUGGCCAGAGAAUUCUAUGAUCAAGUACCGAAAACCUAUCAAGAGAUGUGUUGUACAAAUUCUAUAUUGUUAAUCCAUAACUCCAAUACUCAUAAUUGCUCCCACCAAGAUACCGGGUAAUCUUGACCACAAGGAUGUGUCGUGCCCAUUGGUAACUCAAAUGAAAUAACAAUCACAAUCAUGAAAUCAUAAUUAACUCAAGAUUAAGAUUACAGUAAAAUCAACGCCUAUGAGAUUUAAUAAGUCUGACAGUUAUUACAAAGUUAAUUAAAUCUCAUAUGUGAUCCUGUUCAAUGUAGUCGUACUACAUCAAUAAAUUCAUACAUGAUUAAGACAAAUCAUUCAAUGAAUUUAUUACAGUCUAUACCUAAAUAAAGUGCCCAACUUUAUUUAUCAACUGCGAACUAAAUUUAUUUAAUCAUAAGAUAACUUGUAUUUAUGUCUUCUGUGAAUCCACAUGGUGAUCACAUAAAUACAUAUAAUAUGAUUAAAUGGACUUUAAUACAAAUAUUAAUGCAAUUAAGAUAUUUGAAUAAAAUACCUCAUUUAUUUUAUUAAUCAGAAAAAUUGUUUAUUACAAUUAAAUAAACACAUAUGCUUUUAAAGAGCAUAUUUUCCCAACAUAAGAAACUUACAUACUGUACAAGGCUUAAAUUUUCAUUCUGGCCAGAUUGAACGAACAAUCUUCUUCCACUUAUAAUUUGCAAAAGUAAAACCCCAAAACUGUAGACAUCGGAUUUGGUGGAGUAGAUGCCUCUCGUAACAUACUCAGGAGGGAUAUAGCCACUGUUGUACCAAGUAAUUACAAAUGUCAGUGAAAUUGUCUGACGUAAAAGGUUAAGCUGAUUGGUAAAGGCUCAACAAUAGCAUUAAAGAUAAGUCGAAAAAUAGACGUAUGUACACUUACUGUGUUCCAACAAUUCGACUGGUGUUUGCUUCAAGGUCGUCUUUCACAAAAAUUCUAGCUAAGCCAAAAUCUGAUAUUUUAGGCUUCAUAUCUUCAUCCAAUAAAACGUUACUAGCUUUCAAAUCUCGAUGAAUAAUUGUUAAUCUAGAAUAUUCUUGAAGAUAGAGAAGCCCUUGAGUUAUUCCUUGAAUGAUAUGAAUGCGUUUUUUCCAAUCUAAAAUAAACCUUCGGAUGGGAUCUACAUCAAAUAUAAGUAUAGUUGGACGGUCGGUAGCAUUAGCAUUUGGAGAUGAGAAAGCAAAUGGAGGCACAUAAAUUAAAAAUUAAGCAAUUAAGCUCAUACCAAAAAGGAAAUAGUCCAAGCUUCGUCUUGGCAUGUACUCAUAGAUCAGCAUUUGUUCUUCUCUGUCAAUGCAAAAACCUAAAACCCUAAUAAGAUUUACAUGUUGGAGUUUUGCAGUAAGCAUAACCUCAUUCUUGAACUCCUCAAAUCCUUGUUUGGAUGUCUUUGAGAGUUUCUUCACUGCUAUUACCUGUCCAUCAAGUAAUACACCCUGCAAACACCCCCAAAACAUUAAAAAGAAAAAAAAAAGGCAAUGUUCAUAUACAUGUGUGUGUGUGUGUGUAUUUCGCUAAUUAAUUAAUAAGAUGAGAGAUAGCCAAGCUAUCGAUAUAUAACCUUGUAAACAGGGCCAUAUCCACCCUCCCCGAGCUUAUUUUCAAUUGAAAAUCUAUCCGUGGCCACCUCAAUAUCAGCCAAGCUAUAUUCUCUAAGAUCAGGAUCAUUGCUGUUAAAAUCUCCAGCAUGUACUUGACUAUUUUCUCCGUCCUUUGAUGAUUUGGCUGAGUCAAUUACUAUCCCAAUUAAUAUCAACCAAGGAAAAAAAAGAAAAAGAAAAAGAAAAAAGCUAAUUUAAGUAAAUUGCCCACUUCUUCAACUGUGCUAAAUAGAAUAGAAGUAAAAAUAAUCCUAAACCCGCGUAGAAGAAGUUACCUUUUAAUUUGAGGUUUUUCAUCAAGCAGUAGUAAUACAGCCAAAAACCUAGUAGAAGAAUACAAGCUGCAGUUGUAGGCAAAACAACUACCCAUAACAAUCGCUUAUUUUGACCACUCUUGUCAUCCUCUUCAGCUGAAGAGUCAAUCACUUUGCGUUGGUUAACCAUUGAUGCUGAAAUAAAGAUCUUAAUUCAAGUCAUUAUCCAGAAAAGUGAUCAACGGAUUGCAGUGAGUGCGGAAUUCCAUUUGCUUACCUGCAGCUUGAGAAAGCAUCCAAUCAUGAUCAUAGGAAACUAGCCACACAUGGUAACCGCGUAGCUUCUUCUCCUUGGCAUAUGCAACCUUCACUCUAAUGGCCUCCACAUCAUCAAAACCAAACCAAAUCUUCCCAAUCGAGCAGUAGUUCACCACAUAAGUUGAAUUGUACAAAACAUGGACAUUAGGACCAUAGCUCUUGAUGUGAUUCUUGAUUUCUCUAUAACUCACAAGACCAUCUUCACUCAAAGCUGGUCCCGUUGCUGCUGCACCAAUACCAUUGUCCUCAGGUUUCACAAGCGUCCAUGCAUAGCCAUAGAAAGGCAAACAUAAAACCAAUUUAUCAGCCGAUAACCCUUCCUCAAUCCAUUCCGUGAUUCCGUAUUCAGUAUUAGAGUCACUAUUUGGAUCAUACAGAGCCGCAUGAGCACCAGUAAAAUUUGUCCACGUAGGGGCUGAGUAAUCAGUAGUGAAAACAUGGACCCAAUUCAAGUACUGUCUUAUAAAGUCGACUGGAUAAGUUGCUUCUGUUAAGAAUGGUGAAUAUGAAACCGUUGCCGUCAAAAUCAACUGUGAUUGGCUCGAGUUAUUUCUUGCUUCUAAAUCUACGGCAGCUCGCCACUCUUUAAAGAGAAUGGCAAUAUUGUAAUUAUCCCAGCUUGUGUUUGCCUGAGACCAAGACAGAUCUAAGCCUUGAAAGCCAUAAAGCCUUGCUAUUUUUAUUGAGGAGUCAAUGAAGGAUUUCCUGGAAGAAGGAUUGCUUGCCAUGGAAGAAUAAGUUGAAUAGCUUACAUCAUUUCCUCCUCCGAUGGAAAGAAGUGUAGUGAUCGAUGGGUUCUUUAUUUUGACUGUGUGCGUGGAGUUGGAGAAUUGUUUUUCAUCCGAAGGUAAUAAAGAAAGCUCAUAGGAAGUUGAGUUGACAUCAGCAAAACCACACAUAAGGUGAGUGAAGAGAGCAGAAUUUACAUCUGAAACAGGGAACCCACCGCCUGAAUCCCAGUAACCAGCUCUGAUUAAAGUUUGUGCUCUUGCAGGAAGCGAUUCUGAAAAUAUAAAAAUGUGGAGGACAAGAAUGAUAAUUUUGGAUGCCAUUGUGGGAACCUGGCUGCUUGAGGCAUACCUAGUAUGUGAUUAUAUAUUUGUGUACACACACAAAAUGUAAUGGAGAAAUUAUCCUUUACCGAUUGAGAUUAGUUAUUGCACUAAUAAUGAUGCAAACUUGAGUCAACUUUCAACUUAUGAGCUUAGUCCAUAAGUUUUUAUACGAUAUCAAAUUCAAGUUAUGAAUGAGGGACCCUAUAAUACCUUCCAACCUAACUUAAUAAUUAAUCUUAGCCAAUGUGACAUACUUGUUCUAUCACUUUAUCACGACCCAGUCGAUCUUUUAGCUUUGUCUUUUUUCAUGAUAAUAAGUGAUAAGAUUGAAGUUCUUAAAUUAAGCUAUGACUUUUGACCUCCACUUAGCUUGACUUCUGAAGUUGGAGACUCGUUCUUUUGUAUUGACUUUGUUGGUAUUUAAAUGAACUCGGAGUCCUCUACGAGUUUUUGAAGCGAAGUCAUUAUUCCUCUAUGACUCCAUCCAUGCAAUUGGAAGGCAAAAUCUUGUGAAAAUAUUUUCUAAGUUGAUUCAGUCCAUGAUCAACGUGCACAAAACGCAAAAUCUUGCGAAAAUCAAACCCGUCCUCACUCAUGAGCUCGAUUUCUAACUUAAACUCCUCCUCACUCAUGACAUACUAUAUAAAAUAUCGAGUUGACCUCACUUUAUUAAAUUACAGCUUGUCAUUGAAUUGAGUGUUGCCUUAAUUAAUCCAUCAACUUAAUAAAGUGAUGGUCAUUAAGAAAUACACUUAGUUACUUCCUGAUGGUAAGAUUCAAUAAUAUUGUAAUUUAAAAAAAAAAUCCAUAUACCUUUUCCUUGGGUAAUUUAAUUUCCAGUCCAGUCCACCCUCCCAUUUUAUCAUAAAAGUCUACACAAACAUACGUUUUACUCAAUGUUUACUUAGAAACAAAUGGCGCGCGUACGAUUGCCGAUCUAGUACCACUCUCGUAUGCUUGGUGGGAUUCGGCUUCACCAAAUUUGUAGCAUAUAUUUUACUUCAAUGAGAAAAUCAAAUAAUUAUUGAACAAAUAAUUUUUUUUUUCAAUAUACUUUCUUAAAAUGUAUGGAGUUGGUAAAGUGCAAAUUCAUUUUUUAGCCCUUUGACUCCUCCAAAAUCAAAACUCAAAUUAAUGGUCAGUUAAAUAAUGUUACUUGAAAAUCAUUUCCUAGCUAGAAUUUGUUUAAUUCUAUUAAUUUACAAUCGUUUUUCAUUUUACUUAAUUAAUUAAAGUGAAUUUAUUAUGUAUACAUUCUACAUACAUAAAAUUUUAAUAUUCAGUGUUGAAUUGAAUUGUACUAAAUUUUUUAUAAUUUUUUGUCAGACCUGCGUUUUUAACAGUUUAAUAUUAAUAUUAAUAGCACAUAAUAUACAGGAUUAAGAGAGAUUGAUUUCGACUGCUAGCUACAAGAGUUUUAGGAUUGCAUGCACAAGGGUUUAAAAACAAAGUGUACACUUAAUUACUCUAAACGAGGGUGCAUUUUUAUGAUGAAAUAAAAACUAUGUACAGGGUUGUAAAAUUGGUUCCAUAAUUAGUGUACAUUAACAUUCAUCUAGCUACCACCUCCGAAAAUGAUACAUCAUAAGCCGAGCAUUUUUCCAAAUUUGUUGUGGAUAAUAGUUCAAUCCCAAUUUCAUCCACUUGUUUUGAGAAAGCAGGCUUCUUGGGAGUAUUUGUAUUUGUGGUUUCAUUCUUGAGCAUUGAGGAAACUUCCAGCAUUGAAGGUCUAUCGUUUGGAUUCUCCUGGACACACAACAAAGCUAUUUCCAGACAUCUCAUUAAUUUACAAGAGGAAUUUCUAUCAUCUAGGAAUGAAUCCACAAACUCCAUGCCUUUGCCACCUUUCCACAACUCAUAUGCCUGAAAUUAUCAAGUACCAUCUUGUUACAUAAUUUAUACUUCUUAAUUAAGUGCGCAUAUGUGUACUCAGGGUUACUAUAGCCGAAGAAACUUACGUGCUCCAGAAUGCUUAAAUUUUCAUUGAUGCCACAUAACAUUGAAAGCCUCUUUCCACUUAUGAUUUGUAGAAGUAAAACUCCGAAACUAAAAACGUCUGAUUUGGUAGAGUAUACACCUUGUCUGGCGUACUCAGGAGGAAUAUAGCCUCUGCAUUCAAAAUAACCAAGUAUAUAUGAGUAAGGGAUUUUGCAAUUUAAUAAAUUUGUAAAACCCAUUUUAAAUUGUGGUAAAAGUCCAUUCUGCAUUUUAUUAAAGUGCUGAAUUCCUUAUUCGAAACCCAAUAUAUGUAUAACAAACAGAAGCUUGAGUAAAGGAUAUCAUUGAGAUGUAAUAUACUUACAUUGUUCCCACAACUUGUUCUGUAUUCGCUUUGAGACUCUCUUUUGCAAAAAUCCUAGCCAAACCAAAAUCUGAAAUUUUAGGUUUCAUAUCUUCACCUAACAAAAUAUUACUGGCUUUCAAGUCUCGAUGAAUAAUAGUCAGUCUUGAAUAUUCCUGGAGGUAUAAAAGGCCUUGAGUUAUCCCUUCAAUGAUAUGAACACGUUUUUUCCAAUCCAAAAUAAGUCUUCUGAUGGGAUCUACAACAAAUAUAUAGUUUUGGACAAUAAGUGAUAUGCAAAUGAAUUUUAUACACGAUUAAUAUUAACUUGAUUUCAGAACAAACCAAAAAGGUAGCAAUCCAAGCUUUUGUUUGGCAUGUAUUCGUAGACCAGCAUCCGUUCCUCACUGUCAAUGCAAAAACCUAAAACUCUAAUAAGAUUUACAUGUUGGAGUUUUGCAGUAAGCAUAACCUCAUUCUUAAACUCCUCAAAUCCCUGUGCGGAUGAUUUCGAAAGUUUCUUCACUGCUAUCACCUCUCCACAGGGUAAUACACCCUGCAACCCCAAAAAAACCACGUUCAUAUAAAGCUUUCACUAAUUAGAGAAGCUGAGAAAUGUUAGCCAAACAAUAUGCUACCCCCCAAAGUUGAGGCCACCAUUUUAAGUCCUUUAAGUCCCCAUGGACGCAAAAUGUAAAUCUCCUCUCACAGAAUAUGGAUAUGGGUAGAGGUAUCUUCCUAAAAUGUUAGUCGAAGUAGUUAUAUCCCUCUAGUGUGAGGUUAGAGGUCUCAUCUCUAAUAGGCAUAGAUUUUUAAAUUAUAUGUUUUGGGCCUCUGAAUUCUACGACGAGUGUACAAAUUCAAACUUCCGAUAGGAUCCAAAUUGCAACAUUGUAGAUUGUAACAAAUUAAAAUAUAGGUACACACACACACACACACAUAUGUUACCUUGUAAACAGGACCAUAUCCACCCUCCCCAAGCUUAUUUCUAAUUGAAAAUCCCUCGGUGGCCGCCUCAAUAUCAGCCAAACUAUAUACUCUGAGAUUAGGAACAUUUCUGUUAAAGUCUCCAGCUUCUGUUUCAUUAUUUGCUGUCGUGUUUGAUGCUUUAGCAGAAUCCUCUGUUCCUAACAUCAACCAAGAGUACAUAUUAGAUAAAUAAUUGUAUGUCAGC
rnacentral:lncRNA from 1 species